ACGUGGAUAAUAAUUAUCAAACCAUUCAAGAGGAAGCACGUCUGCGACAAAAUGAAGAUUUGGACGCCGUACGGAACGGCGCCGACAACCGAAUUACUUCCUCUGAGAUAGAGUACGGGCCUGUGCCUUUCAAGACUUCCGACCGAAACUGUCGCCUGCCAACUUCAUGUGAUGGCCAACAUGACCGUCCAUCUGAGAAGCACACGCUAUCAUUCAAUUUCAACCUAAGCAGCAGCGACGUAGAAAUUACCCUUUCCUACACGGGCAGCAUGAUUCAGGAUCCCUAUAUAUUCCUGCGGUUCCCAAGAUCUCGAGAACCACCAGUCUGGACAAUGUCGAUCGCUGACAACUAGUCACCGUCGCCUCCAAACAGAAUAGUGUAAACCUUGGGCUCGCAUCUACCGCGCAGGCCGAGAGCAGGUGUCUCAAGGGUGAAAGACGUACGGAGCACUUAUACACCGUUCUUGGUGAAGCAUCUUGAACAUCCUCUCAGUGGAAAGAUGCUUUGUACUGUUCAGCUACGAGCAUCUGCAAGUUCGCAAUUGAAGCUAUAUGCCUUCCUGACUGCGCAAUAAAUGUAUUAAGACGA